UCGAAACAAAGUAGAAAGACCGGAAGGUCUUUCUAGA
rnacentral:rRNA from 1 species